CUUCCUCCCUCCUUCUUCCUCUACCUCUUCUCCCAAAUCCUCUAUCUCCUAAUCUGCUAUCUACAUCUUCCCAAUCAACAAUAAUCCACUCUUUACUAUCCAUAAUUAGAUUCACACCUUAACGCCCUCUCCUUGAAGGUUGAAUAGAACUGGAGCAAUCAUAUUCUUUUUACGAAUUUGCGAUCCAGAUAUAAAGGCAAGGCGAUCUUCUUCGACGUCGAAUCCCUACGGCACUCUUCAACUCCUACCGAAUUGGUCUUUUCCUCCAGAUUGCGCAAGAUCUCGUGCUAGAUGAGAUUUUUCCUCGAGGUAGUUCCUUCAUAUUAUUAUUGGUUGUUCGAGAACCUACUUUGUUUGAUCUACCUUGAAAUUAUUAGGAGUAGAGCCUUGACCUAAAUGAGAUAGUUUUUUAACGACCUUCGAUCC
rnacentral:lncRNA from 1 species